GGCUGGGGAUGGGCCCGCGGCCUAUCAGCUUGUUGGUGGGGUGAUGGCCUACCAAGGCGACGACGGGUAGCCGGCCUGAGAGGGCGACCGGCCACACUGGAACUGAGACACGGUCCAGACUCCUACGGGAGGCAGCAGUGGGGAAUAUUGCGCAAUGGGCGGAAGCCUGACGCAGCGACGCCGCGUGAGGGAUGAAGGUCUUCGGAUUGUAAACCUCUUUCAGUAGGGACGAAUUUGACGGUACCUGCAGAAGAAGCACCGGCUAACUACGUGCCAGCAGCCGCGGUAAUACGUAGGGUGCGAGCGUUGUCCGGAAUUAUUGGGCGUAAAGAGCUCGUAGGCGGUCCGUCGCGUCGAUUGUGAAAACCCGGGGCUCAACUCCGGGCUUGCACUCGAUACGGGCGGACUAGAGUUCGGUAGGGGAGACUGGAAUUCCUGGUGUAGCGGUGAAAUGCGCAGAUAUCAGGAGGAACACCGGUGGCGAAGGCGGGUCUCUGGGCCGAUACUGACGCUGAGGAGCGAAAGCGUGGGGAGCGAACAGGAUUAGAUACCCUGGUAGUCCACGCCGUAAACGGUGGGCGCUAGGUGUGGGGGACUUCCACGUUCUCUGUGCCGCAGCUAACGC
rnacentral:rRNA from 1 species